GACGAACGCUGGCGGCGUGCCUAAUACAUGCAAGUAGAACGCUGAAGGAGGAGCUUGCUUCUCUGGAUGAGUUGCGAACGGGUGAGUAACGCGUAGGUAACCUGCCUGGUAGCGGGGGAUAACUAUUGGAAACGAUAGCUAAUACCGCAUAAUAGUAGAUGUUGCAUGACAUUUACUUAAAAGGUGCAAUUGCAUCACUACCAGAUGGACCUGCGUUGUAUUAGCUAGUUGGUGGGGUAACGGCUCACCAAGGCGACGAUACAUAGCCGACCUGAGAGGGUGAUCGGCCACACUGGGACUGAGACACGGCCCCGACUCCUACGGGAGGCAGCAGUAGGGAAUCUUCGGCAAUGGACGAAAGUCUGACCGAGCAACGCCGCGUGAGUGAAGAAGGUUUUCGGAUCGUAAAGCUCUGUUGUAAGAGAAGAACGAGUGUGAGAGUGGAAAGUUCACACUGUGACGGUAUCUUACCAGAAAGGGACGGCUAACUACGUG
rnacentral:rRNA from 1 species